AACGAACGCUGGCGGCAUGCCUAACACAUGCAAGUCGAACGAGACCUUCGGGUCUAGUGGCGCACGGGUGCGUAACGCGUGGGAACCUGCCCUUAGGUUCGGAAUAAAUCCCCGAAAGGGGUGCUAAUAACGGAUAAUGUCUUCGGACCAAAGAUUUAUCGCCUUUGGAUGGGCCCGCGUUGGUUUAGAUAGUUGGUAGGGUAAAAGCCCACCAAGGCGACGAUCCAUAGCUGGUCUGAGAGGAUGAUCAGCCACACUGGGACUGAGACACGGCCCAGACUCCUACGGGAGGCAGCAGUGGGGAAUAUUGGACUAUGGGCGAGAGCCUGAUCCAGCAAUGCCGCGUGAGUGAUGAAGGCCUUAGGGUUGUAAAGCUCUUUUACCCGGGAUGAUAAUGACAGUACCGGGAGAAUAAGCUCCGGCUAACUCCGUG
rnacentral:rRNA from 1 species